rnacentral:rRNA from 1 species
UACGAAGGGGGGCUAGCGUUGUUCGGAUUUACUGGGCGUAAAGCGCACGUAGGCGGAUUGUUAAGUCGGGGGGUGAAAUCCUGGAGCUCAACUUCAGAAUUGCCUUCGAUACUGGCUUUCUAGAGGCUGGAAGAGGUUAGUGGAAUUCCCAGUGUAGAGGUGAAAUUCGUAGAUAUUGGGAAGAACACCAGUGGCGAAGGCGGCUAACUGGUCCAGAUCUGACGCUGAGGUGCGAAAGCGUGGGGAGCAAACAGGG